rnacentral:lncRNA from 1 species
AGGCGGAUUUAGGGGAUGGGGAUAGGUCGGGGGACGGGGUUUGGGGAUGGCUAACUGCGCCCUUCCUAUGCAGCGUUAGAAAGCAGCACACAAAAGUACUCGUUAUCGCUGUUUCCUCGUCUAAAACCAGCUCCGCUCGCGCCAGCUCCCCUAACCCCACCCCGAAAAACCUGUGCGCAAGCAGCCGCCGGCAACGACGGACUUGCGAGAAAUACCGGUAAUUUAGCCGUCGCCUGACAACGGCACGAAACACGCAGCCCUUCUCUAAGGGUAUUUGCGAGAAAGCGAAGGCGCUUUGCUUUGUUUGCUUAGGUUGGCGAUGAAAAGGAGUGAAUGUUACGACGGCUUUAUAAAGCUAAUAUCGCCUGGGAAGAAAAACACCAUCAAACGCACCGGGUUGUUGUGGCAGCUCGUGUUUGAGCGCACGCAGCCAAUUUCUGCAAAGGGCUCCGCUGGCGCGGCUCCGCGGAGCGGCCUCCGGCUCGGCUCAGCUCGGGCUUCGCGAGAGCUUCCCGGUGGCCGCCAGGCCGCUGCUGCCCACGGGUGUCUGCGUGACACCCCGUGUCGGCCGAAUUGGGCCACCCUGUGCAGGACACCGGCGUUGCUCAAGCGCGGCAGAUACCGGCCACCAAUCCAGAAGGAGGAUCCCCUGGAAGACCAAACCUCAUCUGUCACGUUAAAUGACUUGAGUCUUGGCUACCUGACCCAAACUCCCCGGUACAAAUUAUAUGUAGCGCUAAGCCUCAAACUGCCCCGGAGCUGUCACUCCCCAGGGUGUUUUCACGUGAGCUCUGACUCGAGAGAUGGGAGCAGAAGUUGGGCCGGCAGGUUGUUCGGCGCCUCCGACAUCCCAAGGAAAACGGAGGCACAGAGAAGUCAAGCUGCACAUCCGUGGUCAUGCAAGGGCCAGGCCAACUGCUGCCCACUGUGGACACCGUGCGAGGUUACACCGCUCCGGCAAUCGCGGUGCAGGCAGCUGAUGUUUCUGCAUCAGCAGGAUUAAUCAGAUGAGCACAACCUGCAAGACAGGAGCAGUUAAGUUAAGCUUAACUUAAUGGUAUGAGCACAACCUGCAAGACAGGAGCAGUUAAGUCAAGCUUAACUUAAUGGUAUGAGUAUGUAAGCAUGCACUCAUGGCACGCCUGGCAAUGCUCGGGGGCAGUGGAGCAAAGUUCUUCGCACCUGAGUUUCUGCUCUUGGCUUCCUCCGUUUUUGCUCUGUCCAGUGUUAUUUCUGAGGUGCUUUGGAUUUUAAACUCUUCUGUUUGGGGUCCAUGCAAAGAAAUGUGAAAAGUAGCAGUGUGUACGGUAAAAAAUUGCUGCUCUCUCUGGCAUUUCAUUCUGCUGCCAAAUAUCUGCCAUUCAGAACGAUUUUUAAGGAUCAGUCUCCCGAGAGAAGUGAGUUACGUCUGAGUUAGAAGCAGCUCUCUCUUUUAAAAGGUCUUAUUUCAGACACUGGCACUGAAAAAAGAUCCCUUCUUCCAGCCGUCAGGGAUCAGACCUUGUGUUUUCCCUUCCUGCGACACGGGGCAGGUGAACCCCUGCGUGUCCGGGUGGGAGCCGCGCGUCGCAGUGGCCGCGAAGCGUGUUUCAGAAGACAUCUCGGAGACACGCUCAAACUUUCAUUUCACAGAUCUGUGGCGAUGGCUCUUUCGGUUGCGCUUAAACCAAUAAUUGUCUUUAAAAAUAUAAGCAUGGCUGCGUUCAGCUGCUUUCAGGUGCAGAUUUGCCUGGGUCGUAUGGCGCUGCCUUCACACAAGUCAACGCCAACGAUGAUCCUUUUUUGGUGACCCCUGUGGCCUCCUGGCAGAGAAAAACCAGGAGAGGUGUGAGCUGUGGGAAUGUGGGACCAGUUUAGCUGGGAAGUUUUGUCAUUAGGACAAGAUGCGCAACCUCUCUGAGCCCCUAUCGCAAUGCUUGAUGGUCCUCACGGAGCAAACGUUUCUCCUAAUAUCCAGUCUAAACCUCUCUCAUUUCAGUUUAUGCCCGUUUAGUUACCUCGGAGCGUAAAUUCGGUAUGAAUGAGAUCAGAAAGAGAUGUCAUGCCAUUUUCUGUAAAAAGAAAACAAAUCCUCAGUUAAAAGAACUUAAACUCCUUCUUGCCCUAAAAUUAACGUGCAAUACCCAGACGCACGCGAUGCAAAACCCUGAAGGUGAAAAGUAGAAUUUUACAGUAACUGGGCAUGUUAACCAAGGUCAGGAAAUCAUCCAGAAAGCUUAAAGCAGGAAACUUGAAGGAGGAAAAAACAAAAGAUGAAAAGAGACCUUAAAAAAAAUAAUAAAAAUGAGUAAUGUAUUAAGACCUGCA